rnacentral:lncRNA from 1 species
AGACAUUAAUCUUAAGUAUCCAGGGAGCCCUAAAACAUUGUAUCCCACUAGCAAGGACCAUGGUAAUUGCCACGUAAAUCCCCUCCAUUAUGUGGCCCUUAUUAUGACCAGCCAGCCAAGGCUUGCCUUUAAAUCAUACCAAUUGAACCGAGCCUUGUAGAAACACUAUCACCUACGCAUACCUCUGCUUCUUUUCAUUAACCUGCUAUCCUCUUUACAAAUGGGAUUCUUCACCCACUCCCUUCUUCUAGAUUAGCAAUGCCCUGUUAAGUAAACGAACACGAAAUUCAAAGGGAAACAGGAGCAAUCAUCAUUACCAGCUGCCGUGUUAAGCAUUGCGAAAACGCUCACGAUUCACAGAAAAAUCCAUGCUGUUCUUUGAAGGCAUUCAAGCCUUAAUAGCUAGCUGGAUGAAUGUUUAACUUCUAGGCCAGGCACUACUCUGUCCCAACAAUAAGCCCUGUACAUUGGGAAAGGUGCCGAGACAUGAACUUUGGUCUUCUCUGCAAUCCAUCUGGAGCAUUCACUGACAACAUCGACUUUGAAGUUGCACUGACCUGGCCAGCCCUGCCACUUACCAGGUUGGCUCUGUAUGGCUAAGCGUUUUCUCCUAAAAUCCCUUGAAAACUGUGAGAAGACCAUAAGAAGAUCAUAUCUUUAAUUCUAUUUCACAAGUCACACAAUAUUCCAAUCAAAUACAGAUGGUUGAGAAAAGUCAUCCAUCUUCCCUCCCCACCCUCCCACAGCCCCUCAACCACUGCCCUGAAACUUAUAUGCUGUUAUCCGCAGCUCCAUCUGGAGCAUCACAGCUACUGUCAACCCUGACGCUCUUUCUGAAAAAACACCGGAUGGACAUCAGAACUAUUUCUUUAAGGAUGUUACUGAGCCACACAGGAAAACUUGCCUUAUGAUUUUGAAUGCACGGAUCUGAUUUGACUAAACAUGAUAACUAGAGAAUCACCCAAUCUACUCCCAUUUUCAACUCUAAAUCAUCAGAGUGUCUCAAAUCCAAAGCACACACAGACCAGCCUGGCCAACACGGUGAAACUCCACCCCUACUAAAAGUAUAAAAAUUAUCCAGGUGUGGUGGCGGGCGCCUGUAAUCCAAGCUACUUGGGAGUCUGGAGGCAGGAGAAUCCCUUGAACCUGGGAGAUGGAGGUUGCAGUGAGCAGAGAUCACACCACCGCACUCUAGCCUGGGCCACAAAUCAACAACAACAACAACAACAAAAAACAAAGCGCACACAGAGACUGAGGUCCUCUUUGGCAUUGAGAAGAUGGCUAUGCAAGUCCCAACUAGCAAGUGCAAACUUCCCAGCUUCACUUCUGCCAGUGUCCCUUCACCCCUUCUCAACCCCACUGGGAGGCAGGAGGGUGCUUGACAAUAACAGCCUUGGCAUCACUCUGCCAGGGUGUAAUAGGAACUGUUACAAUUCUGAGAUUCUGUAAGUGCUUUGAGAUUUUGGAGUCAGACUGCUUGAACUUGAAUCCUGGCCCUCUCAUCAGAGACUUGACUUAUUUUAGGCAAGUUAUAUAACCAAUUUUACCUCAGUUCCUUACCCAUAAAAUGGGUCUAAUGAGAGUACCUACCACACAGAAUUUUGAUGAAAACUGAAUGAGAUGAAGGCCUUUAAGGCAGUGGUCCCCAACCCUGGGGACACAGACAGGUACCAUUUUGUGGCCUGUUAGGAACUGGGCCACACAGCAGGAGGUGAGCAGUGGGUGAGUGAGAUCAGCGUUAUUUACAGCUGCUCCCCAUUGCUCACCUUACUGCCUGAGCUCCACCUCCUGUCAGAUCAGCAGUGGCAUUAAAUUCUCAUAGCAGCACAAACCCUGUCAUGAACUGCACAUGCGAGGGAUCUAGGUUGUGCGCUCCUUAUGAGAAUCUAAUGCCUAAUGACCUGUCACCGUCUCCCAUCACCCCUAGAUGGGAGUGUCUAGUUGCAGGAAACAAGCUCAGGGCUUCCACUGAUUCUACAUUAUGGUGAGUUGUAUAAUUAUUUCAUUAUAUAAUACAAUGUAAUAAUAAUAGAAACACAGUGCACAACAAAUGUAAUGUGCUUGAAUCAUCCCCAAACCAUCCCAGUCCACGGUCUUCCACAUUUUGUCUUUUCACAAAAUUGUCUUCCACAAAACUGGUCCCUGGUGCCAAAAAGGCUUGGGACCACUGCUUUAAAGCCUUUGCAUAGUGCUUAGAAUUGAGGGGGAAAAAAAAAACAAAAACAAUGUAGCUAGUUGCUACAAUCACUAUAUUGGUGAGUUUCAAAAGGAAAAGAAUUCUGUCCCAUUUAUGCUUGAGCCUUGAGUUGCUAACCAAGCCUGACACAAAAUUACUGUUGAAGGGAUGUGUGAGUCCUAAUUGAAAUGAGGCCUCUUAAGGGAAUUGUGGACCAAACCCCAAGCAGGCAGAAAGCCGUAUCUUAAUUAUUGCAAGUAUUUCAGGCAAGGUGUGGAUGGCCAUUUGAAUUCAAGCAGACUAGGACCUGGGAUGAGAAAGAAGGUGUGUACGUGACUUGAUCUUUGAACUUUAGCUCACCAUCUGGAAGAAGGCUGAGUAUUCUCUGCACUCACAUAGUAGCUAAUGCCUACUCCCCAGCCACCCACAAUUCUUUCUGUAGGAAGGCUCGCUAGAAUACUUUGUGAUAUUGGAUAUUAGUUCCAUAUUCUACUGUGUAUCUUAGUUCAACCAAAUUGUAAUCAUCUGAUAUUUAUUUCUUUUAAUAUAAAUAUAAGUAUAUUAAGUCUUGGCAUGCUUGCUCAGUCUCUCUCUCUCUCCCAUUCCUCCCCGCUCCCCUCUCUCUUUCCCAACAGGCUUGGAAAGCAGGCAUCACCAUGCCUAUUUAACAGUUGGGGUCCCUUGGCCACCAGGUGCUGGAGUAGGAAUCUGAGCCCGGACAUGCCUGAUCUGUAAAUUUUGUGUUUUCCCCACUGUGCUGGGCAGAUCACAGCUAUCAGCGCCAAAUUCAUAGAAGGGGCGCCCCCUGUGGUCAAUUGAGGGAUUUGUGUUUGAGGUAGAUCUCAAGAAGGAAUGGGUGGGGAACUUAGCCUAGGACAGAGCAGAAAGGAGCCCUCACUCCCCAAGCACCAACGGCCUCAGUCCUUCCUGCUGACUCCAGCCUCUAGCUCUCACCCAGACUAUCUGCAUCCUUCUCUCCACCACGCUCCUUUGGAACCUGCGUAAAACACAGAUUAAAGGAAUUCCGCCUUACUUCCCUUUCCGCAUUAUGACCAAAUGGUUUUACACUAUCAUUGAACAGUUUAGUACAAAACAUGCCACCUUUUAAUCUAUUCAUUCAUUUAACAAAUACUUUGGAGUGUUUACCAUGUGCCAAGUGCUGUUCUAAUAGACAUAAGCUGUGAGGUUAUGCUUAUCUGAUUCUCACAGCAACAGCUUUCGAGAUAUGAAUUGGUAUACUCAUUUGACAGAUGAGGAAAUUGAAUUCAUGUAGUGAGAAAGGAAGAGCUGCAAUUCAGGGUUACUGGUUUCUCCUGCACUAAGCACUGAGCCACACUAGAAGAGAAGGCAUGAGGAAGACAAAAGUGAGAAGGCACUCAGGAAAUAUUAGUUGCAUGAACGAAGGCUGCAUUUUCAUUAGAACAACAUGCAGUUCAACCCCUUCAUGUUUCAAUGAGGGUUCAGAUACCCAGAGGGCUAUGCUAUCAUCCUGGAGCCCACUCUGCUAACAAUUAGCAGAACGGAAGCCUUAAUUUCCAGAUUCUAGUGAACUUGAUGAGUCAAGACUAUUGCAAUUGGAAAUCUGUUCUCCUCUGCUGCUGCAUUCCCUGCUUAAUACUCAAGCCAGAAACCAGGAAGGCUGUGGCUUGCCUUUUCACUUCUUGUGUCCUGUUUAAGAAAUAUCUGCUAUCCCAAGCAUCUGGCAUCUUUCUUGACAUAUGUAGCAGUUGCUUUUUGACAGCUUGCUUCUUCAGUGAAUGAAUAAAUUAAUAAAGAGAAAUGUGAUGUUCAGUGAUCCAUUUUGCAGGAUAAACCAGUAUUCUGGACUAAGCCAACGUGGGAGACCCUAGGAGGCCUGUUUGAGAAAGUGACAUUUAAAUUGAGACUUGGCGGUGGCUGUGGCUACAUAUCUAAUUGCAAACUCCUAGAGAAGGGCUCAACAGUGAGUGCUGAGGCUGCACAGAGGAGGAAGGCAGCACAAUGAUGGAAGGCUUCCUAAAGAGGACAGCAGACAGAGCAUGAAUGAGACCCCCAAAGAAGGGAAGCAAAUGAGACAAGCCCCACAAUUAUUCUGGCUUUUUGCCUAGAGACAAUCUAUGAACUGUGGGGCAAACAACAGAGAUCAAAACAGCUUGGCAAUCUGAGUUGAGGAUGAAGACACCAUUGGGGCAGAAGCAGCGAUAGCUCAAAUUUGUGGAGCAAAGUACCGGAGAAGAUAAACUGCUCCAAAUUCCAAGAGGCUGGGCAAAGAAAAACUUUGUGGAAAGAAGAAUUAUCAGGGAACUCUAAGCUGAAAAAUUGCCAGGGCUCACACAGACCUGGGGAAUUGGUUGAGUUUAUGCCACCUACAGGAUAGAGAACUUGCUGAAUGUUCAAGGAUUUUGUUACAGAUGCAAGAUGACACUUAAAGGGAUGCAAAACUAACAUCUCUGGAUUAGUCUUAAUAAAGUUUAAAAAUAAGCUUAGAAAAAGUCAAA